rnacentral:rRNA from 1 species
UGCGCAGGCGGACUUUUAAGUCAGUGGUGAAAUCCCGAGGCUCAACCUCGGAACUGCCAUUGAUACUGGAAGGCUUGAAUUUGGUUGAAGUGGGCGGAAUGUAGCAUGUAGCGGUGAAAUGCUUAGAUAUGCUACAGAACACCGAUCGCGAAGGCAGCUCACUAAGCCAAUAUUGACGCUCAGGCACGAAAGCGUGGGGAGCAAACAGGAUUAGAUACCCUGGUAGUCC